rnacentral:rRNA from 1 species
GCAAGUCGAACGAGAAAGCCCUUCGGGGUGAGUAGAGUGGCGCACGGGUGAGUAACGCAUGGGAACGUACCUUUUGGUCGGGAAUAACCACGGGAAACCGUAGCUAAUACCGGAUGAUCUCGAGAGAGUAAAGAUGGCCUCUACUUGUAAGCUUUCGCCAAAAGAUCGGCCCAUGUCCCAUUAGCUUGUUGGUGAGGUAACGGCUCACCAAGGCGACGAUGGGUAGCUGGUCUGAGAGGAUGAUC